rnacentral:rRNA from 1 species
GAUGAACGCUCGCGGCAGGCCUAAUACAUGCAAGCCGAAUGGCAAGUUUGAUAGCACUCUUGGACCUAGAGUGGCGCAAGGGUGCGUAACACGUAUGCAACCUGCCCGCGACAGGAGGAUAGCUCCCCGAAAGGGGAAUUAACCCUCCAUAACACCAUGAGAAGGCAUCUGAUUAUGGUUAAACCGCACGGGGUCGCGGAUGGGCAUGCGGUUGAUUAGCUAGUUGGCGGGGUAAAGGCCCACCAAGGCGGUGAUCAAUAGGGGUUCUGAGAGGAAGGUCCCCCACACUGGAACUGAGAUACGGGCCAGACUCCUACGGGAGGCAGCAGUAGGGAAUAUUGGACAAUGGUUGCAAGACUGAUCCAGCCAUGCCGCGUGCAGGAAGAAGGCCUUCUGGGUCGUAAACUGCUUUUUCCUGUGGAUAAAAUACCCGUGCGCGGGGAAUUGAAGGUAACAGGGGAAUAAGCCACGGCUAACUACGUG